UACGUAGGGGGCAAGCGUUAUCCGGAUUUAUUGGGCGUAAAGAGCUCGUAGGCGGCCGUUCGCGUCGGGUGUGAAAUCUCGGAGCUUAACUCCGAAACUGCAUUCGAUACUGCCGUGCUUGAGGACUGGAGAGGAGACUGGAAUUUACGGUGUAGCGGUGAAAUGCGUAGAUAUCGUAAGGAAGACCAGUGGCGAAGGCGGGUCUCUGGACAGUUCCUGACGCUGAGGCACGAAGGUCAGGGGAGCAAACGGG
rnacentral:rRNA from 1 species